UACAGAGGGGGCAAGCGUUAUUCGGAAUUAUUGGGCGUAAAGGGCGCGUAGGCGGCUUGGCAAGUGGAAGGUGAAAUCCCUCGGCUCAACUGAGGAACCGCCUUCCAAACUGCUUUGCUUGAGUCCGGGAGAGGCGAGUGGAAUUCCCAGUGUAGCGGUGAAAUGCGUAGAUAUUGGGAGGAACACCAGUGGCGAAGGCGGCUCGCUGGACCGGUUACUGACGCUGAGGCGCGAAAGCCAGGGGAGCAAACGGG
rnacentral:rRNA from 1 species